rnacentral:rRNA from 1 species
GAUGAACGCUGGCGGCGUGCUUAACACAUGCAAGUCGAACGGAAAGGCCCAAGCUUGCUUGGGUACUCGAGUGGCGAACGGGUGAGUAACACGUGGGUGAUCUGCCCUGCACUUCGGGAUAAGCCUGGGAAACUGGGUCUAAUACCGGAUAGGACCACUUCUUGGAUGUUGUGGUGGAAAGUUUUUUCGGUGUGGGAUGAGCUCGCGGCCUAUCAGCUUGUUGGUGGGGUAAUGGCCUACCAAGGCGUCGACGGGUAGCCGGCCUGAGAGGGUGUACGGCCACAUUGGGACUGAGAUACGGCCCAGACGCCUACGGGAGGCAGCAGGGGGGAAGAGUGAACAAUGGGCGCAAGCCUGAUGCAGCGACGCCGCGUGGGGGAUGACGGCCUUCGGGUUGUAAACGCCUUUCGCUAGGGACGAAGCGUUUUGUGACGGUACCUGGAGAAGAAGCACCGGCUAACUACGUG